rnacentral:rRNA from 1 species
GGGUGCGAUCAUACUAGCGUUAAUGCACCGAAUCCCAUCAGAACUCCACAAUUAAGCACGCUUGGGCUAGAGUAGUACUGGGAUGGGUGACCUCUCGGGAAGUCCUAGUGUUGCACACU